AGAGUUUGAUCAUGGCUCAGGACGAACGCUGGCGGCGUGCCUAAUACAUGCAAGUAGAACGCUGAAGAGAGGAGCUUGCUCUUCUUGGAUGAGUUGCGAACGGGUGAGUAACGCGUAGGUAACCUGCCUGGUAGCGGGGGAUAACUAUUGGAAACGAUAGCUAAUACCGCAUGAUAUUAAUUAUCGCAUGAUAAUUAAUUGAAAGAUGCAAUUGCAUCACUACCAGAUGGACCUGCGUUGUAUUAGCUAGUUGGUGAGGUAACGGCUCACCAAGGCGACGAUACAUAGCCGACCUGAGAGGGUGAUCGGCCACACUGGGACUGAGACACGGCCCAGACUCCUACGGGAGGCAGCAGUAGGGAAUCUUCGGCAAUGGGGGGAACCCUGACCGAGCAACGCCGCGUGAGUGAAGAAGGUUUUCGGAUCGUAAAGCUCUGUUGUAAGAGAAGAACGGGUGUGAGAGUGGAAAGUUCACACUGUGACGGUAUCUUACCAGAAAGGGACGGCUAACUACGUGCCAGCAGCCGCGGUAAUACGUAGGUCCCGAGCGUUGUCCGGAUUUAUUGGGCGUAAAGCGAGCGCAGGCGGUUAGAUAAGUCUGAAGUUAAAGGCUGUGGCUUAACCAUAGUAUGCUUGGAAACUGUUUAACUUGAGUGCAGAAGGGGAGAGUGGAAUUCCAUGUGUAGCGGUGAAAUGCGUAGAUAUAUGGAGGAACACCGGUGGCGAAAGCGGCUCUCUGGUCUGUAACUGACGCUGAAGCUCGAAAGCGUGGGGAGCAAACAGGAUUAGAUACCCUGGUA
rnacentral:rRNA from 1 species